GAUGAAGAACGUAUCGAAAUGCGAUAAGUAAUGUGAAUUGCAGAAUUCAGUGAAUCAUCGAAUCUUUGAACGCACAUUGCGCCCCUUGGUAUUCCGGGGGGCAUGCCUGUUCGAGCGUCAUUAUAACCCCUCAAGCUCAGCUUGGUGUUGGGGCCUGCCAACUGGCAGCCCUUAAAAUCAGUGGCGGCGCCAUCUGGCUCUAAGCGUAGUAAUUUCUCUCGCUAUAGGGUCCCGGUGGAUGCUGGCCAACAACCCCCAAUUUUCUAUGGUUGACCUCGGAUCAGGUAGGGAUACCCGCUGAACUUAAGCAUAUCAAUAAGCGGAGGA
rnacentral:misc_RNA from 1 species